rnacentral:rRNA from 1 species
UACGUAGGGGGCAAGCGUUGUCCGGAUUUACUGGGCGUAAAGAGCGCGCAGGCGGUCGUAUAAGUCGCGUGUGAAAGCCCCCGGCUCAACUGGGGAGGGUCACGCGAUACUGUUCGACUCGAAGGCAGGAGAGGGAAGUGGAAUUCCCGGUGUAGUGGUGAAAUGCGUAGAUAUCGGGAGGAACACCAGUGGCGAAGGCGACUUCCUGGCCUGUUCUUGACGCUGAGGCGCGAAAGCUAGGGUAGCAAACGGG